UGUAAUUAAAAUAGUGGGAUAUGUCCGGGGCUUGCCUUUACUGGUGGGACUGAAGUCAGAAAUAUCAAUAUCUUCCAAACUUUGGUUCGUGGCUUCAGUUAAUCCCUUGGUGAUGUUCACUUGGUCUUCAGAAAUAUCCUUCAUAGAUUCCGGGGAGAUCUCGUAGGUACCGUUUGCGGAAGUAGUCGUAUCUACAUGCAGUGCAACAUUACAUUCAAAAUGUGCACAUAACACUACCUUACUUCACAAUACAAUUGCAAUCCAACACUCAUUCAACAUACUACUCACGUAAUAACUCAAAAAUAUCUGAAACUAAACUUAGAUAGAGCUUUAGGGGGACAACUAAUUAAGAAGGACUAUAUGUUGAAGACUAUAACAGAGUCGAUUGGAUACAACAGAGGUUUAGCUGAUUGAUGAGUGCAUCGGGUUCCUAGAUGAUCGAUGAAAGCAUCGAUUACUUCAGCAGAGGGAUAUUCCUAAAGCAGUUGUCUUAACGGAGAUGUGCUUAAGUGUUAUCCUAGAUAACUAGGUGUGGUUGUAUCGACUCGAUUACGUCAGCACAACAAUUAAGUGACGUAUAGCCGAAUGGAGUGUGGUUAAGGGUAUGUGACCGAUAAGUAUAAAGCCGACUUCUCAGUCGAUAAAUCGACUAAUAGAAGUGUGUGGAUAAGGAUGGGGAAAACUAAGGAUCGAUCGGCCGUGUUUGACCGAUAUGGAAAAGCAACCAAAAUCGGCUUGGGUCGGCCGAUGGCAAGAACCCUAAGAUCGUGUGUGCACCUCAGAUUGAUCGGCUAUGUAGCAGCUGAUGUAGGACAGAACAACAGAAUUGUAUCGGCAGUAGCCGAUAUUAGAAGGGUAACAACCGGAUCAACUAACCAGCCGAGGGUAAAAGCAUACCAAAAGAAGGGCAUCGGCUGACAGUUGUUACACAGAAAUAUCAUAGACUCAAAGGAAACAGAUGCUUAGCGGCUGAACUGACAGCCGACACUAAAGCAUAGCUGUUGAGAUGUAUUAGCUAAGCAAUAGACGCACACGGACUAACAAGGAUCUAUAUACGACAAGGAACUUAAGAAAACAGCAAUCAAGACGAGGACAAUGUCUUGAUGGUAGGGAUAUGAGCGUUCGUGUGAUGGAUUAACUAAGUAUCACACAUUUCUAUUUAAGACCUAUAUUCUAUGGCUUACUUUCCAACUAUAACACAAGCAUACAAUAUACAGCAUAAUAGAACAUUCAUUCCCUAAUACUUGACCUAGAUCACACAUCAAAAACUUUUAAUUCAUGCCCAUAACAUACAACUCGUAAAUUUUGACCUAGGGUUUCAAAUAAAACUGAUUUUGUACUUUUAUGAACUUCUUACGAAAAUCUAUGAAAUGUAAAAGUUCAUCGAUUUGAAAUAUAGCAAGCUUUGGAAAUUUUACAAAGAACACCCUAGAACUUUCUAAAACAUAGCAAUCAAGUCCCUGGUCCGGGAAAAUAGAUAGCAGGAAAAUAAUGACGAUAUUCCGGCAAAGGAAUCGCCGGCAUUAAGAAGAUUCAGUGAAUCAGGGCAAACCUUGGGGUAGUUUCGGCUGUGGAGGAAGAACAAACGGAAAGUGAAGUCCCGUGGCGAUAGGAUCGGUGAAGAGAAAAGCUCGACGAUGACGAGAUUCCGUGGAUGACGAAGUAGUUUGCCGAGAAUGGUUGUAGUGGGUGGAAGAUGGCCGAAGGAGUAGUCUUCAUGGUGACUCGUGAUAAUGGCGGUUGAGUGAUCCACGAGGGUAAGAACUGUUGGAUGUCGUGGAUCAUGGAGUAAGACGAUGGAGCCGAAUAGGUUCGCUAUACCGACUUCUCCGCGAACCCCAGGAUUUUCCUACUCACGAGCUGAGCCGGCCACCGGUAGAACGCUUCCGCUCCCACUCGCGAACGCGCCGGUUCAGUUCCGCUCGGACCUCUGGGUCCUGUAACUUCGCCGCCCUCUCCGCCUGUUGCGACGCCAUCUGGUUUGACCUAUCACCGCCGCCGGUCUUGUGUUGCACGUCAAACCCGUAUCGCGUUGCUCCCGCCUCGACUUCCGUAUAGAUGAAGGGAGCCCGUCGUGCCUGGCUACACCGCAUCUCCUCCGAGCUCGUUACGCCCGACCACUGCCUUCGCUCCGCGGCUUCUUUUUCUGAUUCGCCACGCCAUACUCUCACUUCCGCCUUUGCGAGGACUGUGGUCUACCUGUAUUAGGGCCAUGCCUUCCGCUGCGUUUUCCUCGACGGCCUCUAAUGUCCAUCACGCGUGACCCUCCUGCACACCAACUUGGUCGCGGCCUGAGCUCGCCCAGCGGGAACUCCACCAUGCGCUGCACGCCGUCGCCCUGCACGCCGCGCAACUGCUCCUCCUCUUCCUGCUGCUGGACACGCGCUCACUUCGGCCUCGCCGCGUCACAUCUGCACAUGUCCGAGCCGCGCGGAUCCUUGACCCGCUCCCACUUCGCAGGCUCAGCUUCACUUCUCCCGCGGCUCGCAUUUCGUCGAACACCUUGGCUGCGUACUCGAUACGGCUACCGCGUCCCCGCAUCCGCACAUGCACGCCUGUACGUCGUCGACCUGCUCG
rnacentral:lncRNA from 1 species